rnacentral:lncRNA from 1 species
ACAUAGGUCCCCAGAGAAUUUCAAUAUGUCUGAUGUCAAGAACGGAAAGUGAGACAGCCAGGUGGGAGGGGGUCCCUGGAGAAUCUCCAACCAGCCUGCGCACUGGGAAUGCGCACUGGAGUGAAAAUACAGAAGUUGGUGCCCUUUGCAGCAGCCAGGAGUCCGACUCCUCCUCUUCCUGUGUGGAACCUGGAAUUCAAACGGCUGGGGCCUCACUCACGGCAUAUGGAACUAACCACGCCCCUAACUAAGAAGGCACACCUUAGUUGCAGUUAGCACACAAUUAAAGCAACUCUCCAAGUUUUACCUUAAAGUUCAAAAUUGCUAGGAGUUGAAACUACUAGAAAUAUAUUUACAUGCAAGAGUCAAAGAAACUUUGAACUAUUUAUGGCCUUUAAUAAUUAAGUAAGGUAUACUCCUGUGAUCAAGACUUGGAGCAUAUUUGUUUCUCUCUGCCUGGUUCCUCUAGAAAUUGGAAACUAUCAGAACAGAGACCAACUCCGUUUCCCGAUCCCUUUGCAAUCUGCAUUGAACCAUGAGUCAAGUUCUUGAUAAAGGAGUGAAAAUGGAUGACAUUUAAGGCACAUCUGAAGAUGGGGAAACCACAGCACAGAAUAAGGCUGGGCCCUUGAAUCAAUAAAUGAAGGAGAACUACUCAAGAGAACAAAACCACCAGCAAUAUCCACCUGUAUUUGUCUUUUCAUAAUGUGUGACACAUGUGCUCAUGGAUUAUUGUCCGAAGCAAGACAUGUGACCAAGCCUAACAUCAACUGGGUGAAGAGCUAUAUGUUCCUUUCUCAAGAGGCACUACAAGUGACAUGCCACUGGGCAGUUUAGCAAAAGCUGGAGGUGCCUUGACAUUUGCAGUACACUGAAACAGUGGCUGGCUUGAAAAAUCCCAAAACGAUUUUCUGCAGGAGAGCCCUUUUGACUAAUAUGAGGUAAGAUGUGCCUGCUUCCCCUUCUGCCAUGAUUGUAAGUUUCCUGAAGCUUCCCCAGACAUGUGGAACUGCCCAUCCGUGGCUGCCCAUGGACCAAUCAGCAUGCGCUUCCUCUCUUCUGAGCUCAUGAAAACCCUGGACUCAGCCAGACUUGCACACUCGUCAGGACAACAUCCCUGCAGAAAGGAGCUACUUGCCAUGUUUCUCCUCUCCUCUGUGAGCUGGAACCCCAUCAGGACAACUUGCCUAUGGAAAGGAGCUACCCACUUUGGGUCUCCUGAAAGCUGUUUUGUCACUCAGUGAAGCUCCUCUGCCUUCCUCACCCUCAAAUUGUCCAUGUAUCUCGUUCUUCCUAGAUGCAGGAAAAGAACUGGGACCUGCUGAAUGGUGAGAAUGAAAGAGCUGUAACACAAACAGGGCUGAAAUAUGCCCCCUGCUCACCACAUUGUGAGUGAUGAGGA